rnacentral:misc_RNA from 1 species
UCGGCAGAAUUGAUGAGAUGAACACCAGUGGAAAUGGACAACCCCAGGAAUGUCGACGAGGAACCCCCACCCGUACCUGAUGCAAUGCGGAGGCCAGGGAAUGGUGGAUUGCGCCGUCGGGGUCGCAGAUCUGGCACUGCUCCGCCGCCGCCGCACUCCGAGAAGGCAGCACCACCAAUCCCUGCCCGGCGGCCGGCGCCGCGCCACCAACUCUCGGUUGCUGGAACAACGGCUCCACCUCCCGGUGCCCCCACUGGCCAGGGAAUGGUGGAUUGCGCCGUCGGAGUCGCAGAUCUGGCACUGCUCCGCCGCCGCCGCUGCCACACUCCGAGAAGGCAGCACCACCAGUCCCUGCCCGGCGGCCGGCGCCGCGCCACCAACUCUCGGUUGGCACAACGGCUCCACCUCCCGGUGCCCCCAC